UACGGAGGGUGCAAGCGUUAUCCGGAUUCACUGGGUUUAAAGGGUGCGUAGGUGGGAAUGUAAGUCAGUGGUGAAAUCUCCGUGCUUAACACGGAAACUGCCAUUGAUACUAUGUUUCUUGAAUUAUCUGGAGGUCAGCGGAAUAUGUCAUGUAGCGGUGAAAUGCUUAGAUAUGACAUAGAACACCAAUUGCGAAGGCAGCUGGCUACAGGUGGAUUGACACUGAGGCACGAAAGCGUGGGGAGCGAACAGG
rnacentral:rRNA from 1 species